AUUGAACGCUGGCGGCAGGCCUAACACAUGCAAGUCGAACGAGUGGCGGACGGGUGAGUAAUGUCUGGGAAACUGCCCGAUGGAGGGGGAUAACUACUGGAAACGGUAGCUAAUACCGCAUACCAUCAGAUGUGCCCAGAUGGGAUUAGCUAGUGGGUGGGGUAACGGCUCACCAAGGAGACGAGCCCUAGCUGGUCUGAGAGGAUGACCGGCAAAAGUGGAACUAAGACACGGUCCAUAUUCCUACGGGAGGCAGCAGUGGGGAAUAUUGCACAAUGGGCGCAAGCCUGAUGCAGCCAUGCCGCGUGUAUGAAGAAGGCCUUCGGGUUGUAAAGUACUUUCAGCGGGGAGGCGUUACUCGCAGAAGAAGCACCGGCUAACUCCGUGCCAGCAGCCGCGGUAAUUC
rnacentral:rRNA from 1 species